AACGAACGCUGGCGGCAUGCCUAACACAUGCAAGUCGAACGAGACCUUCGGGUCUAGUGGCGCACGGGUGCGUAACGCGUGGGAACCUGCCCUUAGGUUCGGAAUAACUCCCCGAAAGGGGUGCUAAUACCGGAUAAUGUCUUCGGACCAAAGAUUUAUCGCCUUUGGAUGGGCCCGCGUUGGAUUAGCUAGUUGGUGGGGUAAAAGCCUACCAAGGCGACGAUCCAUAGCUGGUCUGAGAGGAUGAUCAGCCACACUGGGACUGAGACACGGCCCAGACUCCUACGGGAGGCAGCAGUGGGGAAUAUUGGACAAUGGGCGAAAGCCUGAUCCAGCAAUGCCGCGUGAGUGAUGAAGGCCUUAGGGUUGUAAAGCUCUUUUACCCGGGAUGAUAAUGACAGUACCGAGAGAAUAAGCUCCGGCUAACUCCGUG
rnacentral:rRNA from 1 species